GUGUCAGCAGCCGCGGUAAUACGUAGGGGGCGAGCGUUGUCCGGAAUUACUGGGCGUAAAGGGUGCGUAGGUGGCUUGUUAAGUUGGAUGUGAAAUCCCCGGGCUCAACUUGGGUGGUGCAUUCAAAACUGGCGAGCUAGAGUGCAGGAGAGGGAAGCGGAAUUCCUAGUGUAGCGGUGAAAUGCGUAGAUAUUAGGAGGAACACCAGUGGCGAAGGCGGCUUUCUGGACUGUAACUGACACUGAGGCACGAAAGCGUGGGGAGCAAACAGGAUUAGAUACCCUGGUAGUCCACGCUGUAAACGAUGAAUACUAGGUGUAGGGGGUAUGAACUCCCCCUGUGCCGCAGCUAACGCAAUAAGUAUUCCGCCUGGGGAGUACGGCCGCAAGGUUGAA
rnacentral:rRNA from 1 species